GUUCUCCAUCCCAGAGAAAACACAGUGGGUUCACAACGAUUAUGGCUGAGCCAAAGGCAGAGCCUCAACUGCUCAGCAUUGAUUGCAUGAGUGCUCAGCACCUUAAAGUAAAGGACAACUGGCUGCUUCGUUUCUGAGGUGUCUGCCAUAUGGGAGCAGUCCAGUAUUCCAAGUGUUUCCUGCCUUCCUUUAUAUUCAUGCCAAAAGCGCUAAUAGAAAUAGGGUGGAGACAAAAAAUCUCAGACCCUCCUGAAGAUCAUCCUCUUAAUUCCAGAAGGAUCAAAAUGCUAAAGGUUGCAUUAGAAAAACAGAAGUAGUCUUUUCUCCCACCAUUGGUAACUCAAUGCCACAACUAAAGCUGAGAGUCAGCUGCUUCUUCUACAGCUGUGUUCUUUCUGAAUUCAUGAGAAAUAGCAUUUUGAUUUCCUUCCAGAGGAAAUAUACAGUAAUAUCCCUGACUUGCACUGAGACCUUCCAAUCUGCACCACUAACCCAUGUCACAUUCAACUGCAACUGUGUUAAACCCAGGGUCCCCUUUUCCUUAUGAAUUGAGCCAAUGCUUGGGAAUUGAGGCUUUUCACAAUAAAUCUUUACAUCUUGCUUCCUCUAAGCACUUGCUUCCCAUGCUGGUUCCUUCCCCUCCUAUGUUCUCCAUUUGCAGGUGAUCCAACCUUUCCUGCAGCAUGCGAGACCUGGGCCGCACAAGAAGUUUAUCUGAGAUGCUGGGGCUGUCUUUCCCUUUCCUGUGGUUCUGCACUACCCAAGCUUCCAAAAAAAAGCAUAGCAACAACGUUUCUGUAAAUGUUCACCGUGUGGCUCUGGGGUAUGGCCUGUGCUGUCUGCACGCUAACAGCAGUCUCCGUUUCCCUUGCAGGAGGACCAGCACUUGAUCUGGAAGCACCAUGUGGGACUUACCGUCCUCCCAGGACGAGUUUGAUGGUUUUCUUCCCAUCAGAAGCAUGAGGCCAUGCUCUGGGGUCAGGAUGUCAGUGACUUACAGAUGACACGGAGCACUGAAGCCUGCGUGUGAAUCAGGUCUUGGAAGAGGCUGUGCUCCGUUUGCCGCACAGACACUUUCGCUCUCUCAGAAGGGAGGUCCUCCUGCACGUAGCCAUGCAGUUGGUGUUUUCCAGGUGGCUGCUGUGCACCGGAUGUGUGCCAGUGCUGCAAAACACGUGUCCUUGUUGUGCUUCCUCUAGAGAUGCAUCUGCUGAUGUCAGCUUCCAGGUAAGGCAUGCAGGAACCCGCUCCAUGUUGGCAUCUGUGGCCUUUGCCCUCUCCUGGUCCUAAGGAAGUUAAAAGUGACCUAAGGCUGUUUUUCACUGAGCUGUGGUCAGUGCUGCAGAUGGGGAAGCAAUGGCAGUUUUCCAACAGGUGAGACCCUCCAGGCCAACUAGCCAGACAAGAAAAAUAAGCACAGGAAAUAGUAUCCCUGCAGUCAGAUAACUGAGACACAAGCGGCUGGGAGCAAUCCUGCUGUGUGUGUGUCGGGGGGACAGAGCUUGGAGCAAGCAAAUGUCAGGCCUUGUCACAAGGAAAGGGCCUGCGUGUGGGUGAGUUAGUUCUUGCAAAGGGCAAAAACUGGAUGUGACUCUUGUCUUUCUGUCCCAGUAUCAGUACUUGUGUCUCUGUGCAGGUAGACGCUGCUCUGUCUCGCCUGUGAAACCCAUUCCCUGCACUCCUCCUGUUGGCCUCUUCUUUGUGGCACGUCUGCAGGUCCUGUGUGCUUCCCAGCUUUGUCCCCAGUGGUAUUGCUGGGCAGUGUUGUGGUGAGGCAUCUGCUGCUCCAUCCUGUGCUUAGAGAGAUGGAGAAGCCACCUGUGGUGCUUGAAAUAGCUCUGCCCAGGCAAUCCAAGCCAAGUGGUGCUGGUAGAGGGAGGGAUUCCCAUGCCUCAUAAAGAGGCUUUUGUUGGGAGGAUCUAAGCUGAGCUCCAUGCCUUGCCAGCUGUGGAGAGGAGCAGAUGGGUCUGCAGUAUAAAAAUAGAUGGAAGCAGACUUGUUCUGCCUCUUUUCUUCACCAGCACAGUCCCAGAGGUGCCUGGUCAUCUGAACCAGCACAAGGAACUGGGUGCUUUGCAGCUGCUAGUCUGCCUGGAGCCCACUAGCUAUUGUCAGAGACAGGAAUUUAUCUCUGUCCAGUCCCAUUCCCUCUACAGCUGCCGUGUGGACAAUCUUAUUUGCUCACAGCUGCUGGCAGCGUGUUACAUCCCAUUUCCUUGGAGCAGUGCAAACAGGAGGAGGAUGUUUCUAUGAGAUCCCAUGCCCCCAAGCUGCUGUACCCUCAAGAAGCAGGGCAUCAUUCUCUGGCUGUGUCUUCUCAAUACACUGAAGCCAUGUCAGUGUGCCUUGAGCAUUCAGCUCCUCACUUGGCAUCCCCACUCCAUCCCCUCCUGCUAACUGAAUAAGGAUCACAUGGAUGCUUCCCAAAUGAGCUUUUAUAAGGCACUAAUUUGAUCCAUUCAGGGCAUCUUCCUGUAACGAAAGCUCCUGAGGUAAUUGAAGGUGAGGUUGCAUGGGUGGGGGAGGAACAUGGCACGACUGCUGGCAGAGGUAAUUGGAGGAACAAAAGAAAACCCUUUUGUUCCCAUAAAUCCGGACUUUGACGUGUUCCUCUGCACUCCCUGCCUACCUAGCUGCUACUUGUGCUGUUUCUUAAGGUGCCUGCUUUCCUCUGGAAGCAAGGCCUCUGGUCUGGCUCCUUCUGUGACAGUUUAUCUGUGGGACUGUUCUCCUCCAGCCCAGACCCCCAUGCUCCCUUUUAGUGUGGGAGUCAGGAAGCAGCAGCAGCACUGAGCCUUCCCACUCGUGUGCAGCAUUUCCUUCUGCUGGCCAGGGGAGCAGAAAAAGGCUGUCUGAAGGGUUUGUUUUCUUCUAAGCAAGACUGCUGGAUUUGCAGAGUAGGGGCGAUCGCUGAUCCUUCAAUGUGGGAAACACGUGUUGGGGGAAAGGUAACUUCUGAGGCCCUGGGCUGUCAAAACUGCAGACACCAUGCUACCAGUGCCAGUGAGCAGACGGGGAAGCAUCUGCUGUGCGUUACAAUAGCAUAAAGUUGACAUUUCACCCCUGACCAUUUCUUUCUUUAGCUCCUUAGCGUUUGGUAUUUACAGAAAUGUUGGUUACUAACUUGGUCGGAAUCGGUUCCCACAGCACCCGUCUCUUCUCCAGCAAUUGUCAGGAGAAGUCUUUGAGAUUCACAGGGAACUGUGUCACACGGGCAGCAGAUGGAGGUAUCACAAAAUGGGUCGGAGGAAGCCUCCAGGAUUAUCCAGCAGCACAGCAGAGAAGGUGGGACUGAAACCAGUGCUUCCAGGACACUGUCCGGGCCUCACUCCUGUCUCUUCAUCCCCAGUGAAACUCUGGAUUCAAACCAGAACGUGAACUAAAUUCCUGUUUUGGAAUCCAUCUCCUGCCUGCACCUAAAGCACUCGGUGUGGGCUGUAAACAGCCAGGCUGUACAGCAGGGGAGCAACCUCCAAAGUGUGGCCCUUCUUUAGGAUUUGGGCAUCUCACUCAGUGUAGGAACUCAGCAGCCUUUGUACUCACUGAUGUCAUUUCUAAUUUCUCUUUGGUUGUUUAACUCUGGCAGGUUUAAGUCUGAUGCUGGAGGACAGAGAGCAGAGAGAGCUCCCUCUGCUGUCUGUGGGACUUCAGGAUCCAACUAGUUUGGUCCACAUUUCCCUUUGCUGGAAAGCUCUGGUUAAAGCAGAUUGUUCUGAUGGCUUCUUGGGCCAUUCACCUCAGGUAGAUUUUCCCCACAAUGAUGGAGACUCAGCUGUCUUCACCAGGACACUCCUUCAGAGAUGACUGACACAGCAUCAAGGCUGAAGCCCUUGGGGAGAUGCUAAGAAAUCAGGUAGGAAUGUGGCAACUAUGAAGGAUUUUUUUCAAAGCAAAUAUGUAAAAAAUAGCUUUUUGCUCUUAGGUUGUAUUUUAAACAAACAAACAAACAAAAACCUCCACAUCCUGGGUUUAUGAAGGCUGCUAACCCAGGUACUUCUUUGUUCUGCUGUAGACUGAAAAUAUUUUGGUCAGUUGAACCAGAUGGUUCCUUGCCAGAAUACAGACAGAAGGUGGAGUGGGUGGCAACUCCUCUCAGCCUUGGACUGGUCCCUGUGGCCUCUUGCUUCGUGUUUGUGAGGUCUCCUUUUCCUUUUGGAGGGUCAUACCUCUCAUUUGUGUUGUAGUGUCUUUCCCACCAUUCUCUCUCUCUGCAGGCUGCAUUUUGGAACUGUGCUCAGGAAGACCUUCCUGUGUUUCUCAGCAGCAGCAUAAUCAAUGCUUUGUUAUGGUGUUUCAGCUAGGUGCCCCUGAAGGGUGAGCAGCUCUGGUCAAUAAAAACAGGACUUUCUUGCUCUCACUACUGUUUUUCUUCACCCCAGCGAAGCUGCUAACAUGUUCCAGCAUGCACAAGAUAACAGAGGCUUGAUAAACCCAAAAGGCUCCUUGUUAAACAAGUACCUGGAGCUGAGCUGAUGCUAGUGAUUGCCAUUGUGCUGGGACCAGGAGGAAAUGAACUGUGUCAGCAUGUUUGUGAGUGACUAACUACUGUUUCCCAUGGAACAAAAGAUCUGAGAGUUUACAGAUGUGUUUCCAGGUGUGAUUUAGUCAAAGCAAGCAAGCAGAGUGUUUCUCGAUAAAAAGACAACAGAUCUCUUCCAAAGGUAGGUUAACUCUGUGAUAACUGUGAGCUGAUCUUUUCUUGUUGAAUCGAAGUGAGGGAGGCAAGCAAAGUGACUGCAAACCUGCAUUUUGCCUCCCAGACAAAGGGUUGGUUAGAGACUCCUUUGGUCCCUGGCAUGCCAGAGAGCAGACAAAAUGUAUUGUCAACACUGAACUUCCUCCAUUCUUCAGCAACUUCCCCUCAACCAGCCUUCAGAAUGGCAGGAAGCCAGGAGCAGAUGAUGAGGUUAUAAUUUGACUCUCCUGCUCCGUAGGUGAUUGUACCUGUGGCUUUGUUAGUCCAUGGGAAAAGUGGGAGAAUCCAAAUGCAGACCCUAAUUUUUUUGUCCAUAUCAAAAUCCUUAUCUCCAUUUUGAAUUAAAUAUGCAUGCAGGCCCAUUUCUAAAACUGAUAAGAGUGCUUCUGAAGAUUUAAGUAGAAUUAGUAAAAGAUUUCUUUGUGUGUGGGCACUGUAAAGCUCCCCCAGCCCCAUUAUCCCCCUGCAAAACAAAAGGCAAAACCAAAAAUUAGCAGUGGCAAGAAAUCCUGGUACAUGAGUGACUUCAGAACAAAAUUCUGAUUUUCCUACAUUGCAACACCCCUGCAUCUUGUCUGUAUCUGUGUAUAACUCAAAGCAGGACCCAAAGCUUUUUUUUACCAACUGCCUUCCUUCCUGUAGCUGUGUAUUAAGUAGCAUGAAACUCACCCUAUAUUUUAGGUUUCCUUUCUUACAGCCUUACUAAUUACCCUCUAUGGCCUGUUGGUUGCAUUUGAAAUGUUUUGAAUCAGUUAUCUCUGAAGAUAAUUGCUUUCUAUCUCUACAUGAACCAAAGGGAUCUGUGUUUGAGGAGAAGCAAUGUAGAGAUCGCUUUUGCAGUACAACUCGGUAAUUUAUUUUGUGAUCACGAGCAAAGGAACACGUAGAAGGUCACUUUGAAGAAUGCUGCAGUGUCUAGAAAGCAAGUUUAGACAGGCCAUCAAUAUCAUGUGGCCUUGCAGGACUUGCCUGGAUCCACGUCCACCUAAAUCCCUUGGUAGGUGUUGUUAACAAACAGCAUGAUCCCAUGCACGGGCUGAGACAGAUUGUCCCCUUAUUGCAUCUGGGACACAAUUUAUUUACUUCACUACUCUGGGGAGCUUUGUGUGACCCAUUUAAAGGAAUGGCAGCAGAAGAAAGUGUCUGGAAACAUGGUUUGCAUGAUAUUAGCAGAGUUUGUAAAAAGCUGAGUGCUUCAGAGAGAGUAUAUGCACAUAUUACAAACAUAGAAAGGAAAUUGUUUCUCAGUCCUGCCUGCUAGCUCUGAUAUGUGAUGCUGUUUAGCCUUCACUUCUAUCUUGGGUUACAGUGGAGACACUUUGUUUGUUUAAGUCCUUUCUUGGGUCUUUCCCAGCUUUAGCCUGAACUUUAGAUAUUUGGCUCUUAAACUCAUCCUCCAGAGUGCUUCUGAGUAAUGCCAGGGUGCUGUUGUGGGGUUUUACAGGAACUCUUGGGAGCAGUCUUACAGCACAGAGCAUAUGAUCCAGUGCUAACAAACCCAGUUUUAACUCUGAGAUGGUAACUGCAGCACAGGGCUCCAUCACAGAAGCACAGACAAACUGCUUUCUGUGCACAUUACACCCGUGUGGUCCUGAAAUCUUUGCCUGACUUUGCCUGGACUACCUGAGGGCAAUAGAGAUGAAGUGUUUUGUAGGAAUUUUCCCUUAUUUAAAAAAAUGUUUCUGAUCCUUAAAAUGUGUUUUCCUCCAAACCAAUUAUUCAUAGGCUGACUUCAUGCUAAAAGGUUGAGCUUUGUUUUUUGCAAAAUAGUGCCUUGGUCCUGGUAAUGCAGCACUGAGAAGAGGUUUAAAUACAGGGAUUUGAAGAAUUCAACACCAGGAUUGAGCUCUGGAUUCAAGCAUCAUACUUAGCAGAUAAUUGCAAUGACCAAGGUGGAACAUUCAGAUUUAGAUCCAAGCUCUCUAAUAUGCUUUGUCUGGGAUACGGAAAGCAUCUUCCUUUAUUAGGUUACUUUCCUGAUGAACAUUAACAUUUCAUGCUUUGAAGGUUUAUUGUGUUGGCUGGAAUUAUACCUUUAUAUACACAUAGUCCCUAUGGAAUAGCCUGGUCUCCUUUCAUCAUUAUUAGUAAUUCUAGGCUUGUCAUUUCCUGUUCACGCAGUCUGGACUUGGCUGUGUUGUUGCAGGAUGGUUGAUACGGCACACAGGAAAUGUACUGUUUUUUCAGAUCUCGACUGUUCAUGAGUAUUCUUUUCAGGGGCUUCAGUUUUAUUGCCCCAAAGUCCGUUUCCUACAUGUAGCACGCUUUAACAAAUUACAAACAAACAAGUCAGUGAAAGUUCACACUAAGAAUAGAAGCUGGAAGAGAAAAGUUCAGUUAUGUGACCUUCUUCAGGAGCUGGAUACAAAAUAGACCUGCUGUUUUUUCUUUUAAUUUGCAGUCCAGGCUGAAAAGAAUUUGAAUAGUUCCCAAAGAAACCCAGGCCCUUCUGUUUGUUUCUACGAAUCUCCAGAAAUGCUUUAUUUGUUAGUUGACAUCCUGAGUAUGCUGAUAGGGAAAUAAACGUAAUUUGGUUUCCUAAUUUCCCUGAAUUUUUGCACUGCUAUCUCAUUCAGUGAUGUUUAAAGACCUGCCAGCCACGAAGAGAACAAAAUGUUAUUGAUACAUACCCUUAAAAUUGACUGUUAAAGCAAAUUAGGAUCAUCAGGUGGAAAACACCACGUAACUGUCAGCCACUGCUUAUUGUUGCUCUGCAGAAGUAUGUUUGGGCCUGGAAAGUGAUCACUAAGAAGAGGUUUGCUGGACCUUGGUCACAAAAACAGACACAAUGCUGCACCAAUGACUGCAGGACAAAUACUAACAUAACAAACCAGUUAUCCAGGCUUUUUUAAACAUCCUUCCUUUCAAAUGAUGGCCUUCCUUCUCUUUCGUAUUCACUGCUUUUGUUUUGUCAUGUGCUGUCGCCCUUAAUUUUAGCUGAUCUUGGAAAUGCCCCCAAGACUGAAGGGCUCUCCUCAAGGCCUUCUGCCUCAAGGAGCCCCAUCCCUCACAGCAGCAGUGCGAUGCCCUGUGCACCAUGAGCAUCGCUGCACCAUUUGGGUUAAAAAAGGCACAGUCACAUCUCAGAAUGCCAUGAUGACACCUGACUGUCCCUGUGCACUUUCUGUUUAAAGUUAAAUAUUAGACACUCUCUCCAUGAUACUCUUUUUUUGGCCUAAAGGGCUUAAUGUUUAACUGAGAACAGCAAACAGCUGUAGAUGUGAAGUGCUGGACGUUGUUAUAUCCUCUAGAAGAUUCAAAAAAUAGUGCUUGAAAUCAGUGUGAUGUGUCUAGAUGUGUGUGGCCCAUUCCUGGGCUUGG